rnacentral:rRNA from 1 species
CAGUCGCCACGGGAAUACGGAGGGAGCUAGCGUUGUUCGGAAUUACUGGGCGUAAAGCGCGCGUAGGCGGUUACUCAAGUCAGAGGUGAAAGCCCGGGGCCCAACCCCGGAACUGCCUUUGAAACUAGGUGACUAGAAUCUUGGAGAGGUCAGUGGAAUUCCGAGUGUAGAGGUGAAAUUCGUAGAUAUUCGGAAGAACACCAGUGGCGAAGGCGACUGACUGGACAAGUAUUGACGCUGAGGUGCGAAAGCGUGGGGAGCAAACAGGAUUAGAUACCCCUGUAGUCCCUGUCUCUUAUAU